rnacentral:rRNA from 1 species
GAGUGGCGGACGGGUGAGUAAUGUCUGGGAAACUGCCCGAUGGAGGGGGAUAACUACUGGAAACGGUAGCUAAUACCGCAUAAUGUCGCAAGACCAAAGAGGGGGACCUUCGGGCCUCUUGCCAUCGGAUGUGCCCAGAUGGGAUUAGCUAGUAGGUGGGGUAACGGCUCACCUAGGCGACGAUCCCUAGCUGGUCUGAGAGGAUGACCAGCCACACUGGAACUGAGACACGGUCCAGACUCCUACGGGAGGCAGCAGUGGGGAAUAUUGCACAAUGGGCGCAAGCCUGAUGCAGCCAUGCCGCGUGUAUGAAGAAGGCCUUCGGGUUGUAAAGUACUUUCAGCGAGGAGGAAGGUGUUGUGGUUAAUAACCGCAGCAAUUGACGUUACUCGCAGAAGAAGCACCGGCUAACUCCGUGCCAGCAGCCGCGGUAAUACGGAGGGUGCAAGCGUUAAUCGGAAUUACUGGGCGUAAAGCGCACGCAGGCGGUCUGUCAAGUCGGAUGUGAAAUCCCCGGGCUCAACCUGGGAACUGCAUCCGAAACUGGCAGGCUAGAGUCUUGUAGAGGGGGGUAGAAUUCCAGGUGUAGCGGUGAAAUGCGUAGAGAUCUGGAGGAAUACCGGUGGCGAAGGCGGCCCCCUGGACAAAGACUGACGCUCAAGUGCGAAAGCGUGGGGAGCAAACACGAUUAGAUACCCUGGUAGUCCACGCCGUAAACGAUGUCGACUUGGAGGUU